AGUUUGAUCCUGGCUCAGAUUGAACGCUGGCGGCAUGCCUUACACAUGCAAGUCGAACGUGAAAGGGGGGCAACCCCCGAGUAGAGUGGCGGACGGGUGAGCAAUACAUCGGAACGUACCCAGUAGUGGGGGACAACCUCGAGAAAUCGAGGCUAAUACCGCAUACGACCCACGGGUGAAAGCGGGGGACCGCAAGGCCUCGCGCUAUUGGAGCGGCCGAUGUCCGAUUAGCUUGUUGGUGGGGUAACGGCCCACCAAGGCGACGAUCGGUAGCUGGUCUGAGAGGAUGAUCAGCCACACUGGGACUGAGACACGGCCCAAACUCCUACGGGAGGCAGCAGUGGGGAAUUUUGGACAAUGGGGGCAACCCUGAUCCAGCCAUGCCGCGUGCGGGAAGAAGGCCUUCGGGUUGUAAACCGCUUUCGGCCGGAACGAAAUCGCCCGGGUGAACAUCCCGGGUGGAUGACGGUACCGGAAGAAGAAGCACCGGCUAACUACGUGCCAGCAGCCGCGGUAAU
rnacentral:rRNA from 1 species